UCUCUCUCUCUCUCUCUCUCUCCUCUUCUCUUAUCUUCUCUUCCCUCUCGCCGGCUGGAAUUUCUCCCAAAUAUCCCGUCGGCUUCUUCCAUUCGCCUCACGACGCCGGACGCCGCUGCUGCUACUGCUCAUCGGGGAGAGGCUGCUGUCGCCGGGAGGAGCUGCUGCUGCCGUCCGCGCCGCUGCGCCGUCGCCGUGAGUCGUCUCCAGCCGCUGCGCCGUCGCCGUGAGUCGUCUCCAGCCGCUGCACCCGACGCUGCCGUCGCUGCCGGGAGGUGCUGCUUCUGGCGCGAAGGGUGCCGCCACCGUGAAGAUGUGUCGCUGCCGCCACAGCGCUGUCAUUCAAUUCAUCCACCGUUCAUCACCGAACCAACCCCGAACAGAUACCACGCAGCCCCGGUUAACCCCGAUUUCAACUGAAGAGGUCGGUUCUUAUUCAAGAUUACGGAAGAGGAAUAUCUUUUCAUGGAGGAAGAAAAUCUGCGCAGAAUCUUUAAUUAAAAUUGGAAUCAUAGAUAUUUUAUUUUAAUUAAUUUAGUUUAAUUCAUAGCC